AAAUUGAAGAGUUUGAUCAUGGCUCAGAUUGAACGCUGGCGGCAGGCCUAACACAUGCAAGUCGAACGGUAGCACAGAGAGCUUGCUCUCGGGUGACGAGUGGCGGACGGGUGAGUAAUGUCUGGGAAACUGCCCGAUGGAGGGGGAUAACUACUGGAAACGGUAGCUAAUACCGCAUAACGUCGCAAGACCAAAGUGGGGGACCUUCGGGCCUCACACCAUCGGAUGUGCCCAGAUGGGAUUAGCUAGUAGGUGGGGUAACGGCUCACCUAGGCGACGAUCCCUAGCUGGUCUGAGAGGAUGACCAGCCACACUGGAACUGAGACACGGUCCAGACUCCUACGGGAGGCAGCAGUGGGGAAUAUUGCACAAUGGGCGCAAGCCUGAUGCAGCCAUGCCGCGUGUAUGAAGAAGGCCUUCGGGUUGUAAAGUACUUUCAGCGAGGAGGAAGGCGUUGUGGUUAAUAACCACAGCGAUUGACGUUACUCGCAGAAGAAGCACCGGCUAACUCCGUGCCAGCAGCCGCGGUAAUACGGAGGGUGCAAGCGUUAAUCGGAAUUACUGGGCGUAAAGCGCACGCAGGCGGUUUGUUAAGUCAGAUGUGAAAUCCCCGGGCUCAACCUGGGAACUGCAUUUGAAACUGGCAAGCUUGAGUCUCGUAGAGGGGGGUAGAAUUCCAGGUGUAGCGGUGAAAUGCGU
rnacentral:rRNA from 1 species